UGUUCUUGUACUAGUUUUUAUAACUUUGCUUUCUCUCGCUCGCUCGCUCGUCGUUGAUUCCUCUAAAGGUCAAAUUUGUAGUUAAAAUCUCAAUUUAAUGCAAUACCUACUUCAAAUCGUCUCUUGUUUUGCUUGGAGAGGUUAGAUGAUGGCGGUGUUUGAAUUAGUCUGGUGAUUUGUGGUUGUUUUAGCUUGGGCAUUCCUUUUAAUUUCUUCUACUUUGUUUAUCCCCUUUUUUUUCAUAGCGAGAUUAUUCGAUUGUUAAGAGGAUUUAUUGUUGCUUAGUGUGAAACUGUUUUUGGUGUCUCAGGAUGUGAACCUAAAUAUUUUACAGAUGGUGUUAGUGUUGCAAGUGGUAAUUUCCUGGCAGCUAAGAGAAGAGGAGUAGUAGAAGGAAUUGAUUAUGGAUCAACGGGUGAAGUUAAGAAAGUAGAUGUUUCUCGUAUACGUGAGUUUUACCCAUCUCCACUUGCCUUGACAUAUCUACGCUUUCAUAAUUUAUGCAUCUAUUUUUAUUGUAUGCUAUUAGAAUUCUUCAUUGAGUUCCUUUCAAUAUGACGAUUGAAAGAGCUCCAGCUCUUCUUGGAAAACUAUGCACUUUUCAUCUUAAUCAAUUAUGUAAAUUUUUGGUGCAAAACUAUUGGGAAAGAUUUUUGUCCAAUCGGGAAACAAUAUCAGGUCUGUUUAUUAAUUUGGUUUGACAUUUCAUACUAUUUGUCAGGAAUUACAUUCAUUAUCUUUACUUCUGGGGGAUUCUUGAGCGGGAUUCUUGGACAUUUGCAGGCUCUGCUAGCUGCUCUUGCUAUUAUGUCGGAUCUAUGUUCGACUUCUUGGGAAGGUGCAGUAACGAAGCCCUCAAGGAAGAGAUGGAAGAGAAAAGAAGGGCUCAGGUGCACUUUAAGUUAUGUAAUGUGCUCCCUCAGACGAUUGCCUAUUUGGUGCCUAUUUUUUUAGUUUGUCACUUUAAUAAUUCUGAUGGUAGCGGUCAUUCUUCAUUUUUCACUAAAUCUCUAUUGCAGAUUACUUUCACAAGGAAGAAGGAUUUCAGGAAAGAGCAACUAGUUCUUGAGGACUUAGUGCUAGAAUACAUAGUAUGAUAGAUUUUCGUUUUAGCUAUAAGAUAGUUGGUACUUUUAAUUUUGAAUCGAAUAUGCAAUGAUGAUGUAUACUUGAUACUUGGUUCAUUUGGAUGGUAAUGUAUGAAUAUUUUGGAUGAUAUAUAAAAUUGUUAUUGUUGAUUUUAUCA